rnacentral:rRNA from 1 species
AGAGUUUGAUCCUGGCUCAGGACGAACGCUGGCGGCGUGCUUAACACAUGCAAGUCGAACGAUGAAGCCCUUCGGGGUGGAUUAGUGGCGAACGGGUGAGUAACACGUGGGCAAUCUGCCCUUCACUCUGGGACAAGCCCUGGAAACGGGGUCUAAUACCGGAUAACACUCUGUCCCGCAUGGGACGGGGUUAAAAGCUCCGGCGGUGAAGGAUGAGCCCGCGGCCUAUCAGCUUGUUGGUGGGGUGAUGGCCUACCAAGGCGACGACGGGUAGCCGGCCUGAGAGGGCGACCGGCCACACUGGGACUGAGACACGGCCCAGACUCCUACGGGAGGCAGCAGUGGGGAAUAUUGCACAAUGGGCGAAAGCCUGAUGCAGCGACGCCGCGUGAGGGAUGACGGCCUUCGGGUUGUAAACCUCUUUCAGCAGGGAAGAAGCGAAAGUGA